rnacentral:tRNA from 1 species
GGAGGGUAAAGCUCAGUGGUAGAGCACAUGCUUAAAACGCAUGAGGUCCUGGGUUCAAUCCCCAGUACCUCCA